GCACAGAGGAUGUAUUAACCACACAUCUUCUAGCAAUGCGCUCAACUGGCAGAAAUGAUGCUGGGUAUGAUGUGUCUGUUCCCUGCAAGCCCCAAACUUCUAUUGGCUUUCCAUAAAAAUGUCUGUCCGGGUGGAGAUGAAGCCAGGAAACUUGUGCAAGAACAUGUUUAAAUGCCGUACCCUUUGACACAACAUUAACAACUAUAAACUGCUUUAUAAUGGCUGGUCGUAGUUCUGCUAGAGGGUCACGGACGGGUUCCUCAAAACUGUUAGUGUUUCCACAUCACGUAGCAUAAACACAUGCUGACCUUUAUGCUCUGCAUCUAUCGAUUGAGUAAGUUACAUUCGUAUAUGUUACCCGUUUACAUGUCAUGGCAAAACAUUCAACCUCAGUGACACAAGGGUACAUCUGAUGAUACAUUGUCAACAUUGCAUGUCUGUCAGACUCAAGAGUGUCUGGUGGAAUGGAGAAAGAGGCACCACUGUACAGGUUUCUAGGGAAAGUCGUUCUGCUGACACCAAAACACUGCUUUACAUAAAGCAUAUCAGCUGUUUCAUUGCACGACAAAGUCCCAACCAUUUGUCUUCCUAAAAUACUGGUCCUUCCGUAUAACAAUAACCUCGUAUGUGAUUGGAGGACCCUUAGACUCCUCGUCCAAUCACGUCUGAGGUCAUAGGCGUGACUGAUACAGCAGUACUUGCAAGACGAGCAUGCAAACGUGUUACUAUAUUCAGAAGAACUGUAUCUCCAGUUCCUUUGUUUGGUUUUUGCUGCUUCGUGAAUAAUGGCGGGACGACGUCUCGCGUUCAACUCGCCUUCAACUCCUCUCCGCGGUCACCAACUUUCGGCCAGUCCGCAGACAGACAGAAGAAGCUGCUGAAUGCUCUCAGUGGAUCGUCUCGUCAACUCCAACAACAAACCGCCGAUAUCAACGAGCGGUUCGCUCCACUGGAGCGUUCGGGACUCUGCGGGUUUCUGUCCAUGGAGGAGAGGAACCGACUCAAAGAAGAGGAGACGGGCGCACAAUCCCACGAUAGCGGAAGCGGUGCGCCGUCUUCACAACUCUGAGACGAACUACAGGCGCUACGAACCGGAGCAAGGACUAACCUCGCCUCAUAAUGAGGCGGUGACCUCGUAUUUGCUCCGGGAAAAGUCCAGAUUUAGACGACGUCAUUGUGUCCGCCUGUGAGACGUAUUUUGAGACGUACGCAGGAGCUUCAGGUUCAGCCGGAACACUCAUUGCGGGCUGAAGCUGCGAAGGAUUCAGCGCGGAGUCGAGCGAGGAGAAAGAGGCUGCUGGAAUCGAGACAAAGUGUGCUGGCUGAUGACGAGGUGGAACGCUGGAAAUCCGCCACCGUGGAGCUCACGUCGGACGGAGGGGACGGCGUUGUUGGCGGGGUCUCGGGGUGGAUUGUACGGUCGACACACACACACGAGCCGCCUGCACAACAGACCUGCCUCGGAAAACACGGCGCCAGUGACGGUCAACAACCCCGAGGAGGCAAACGGACAGUUUACUGAGCUGUAGUUUUUAAACCGCCGUUACCCAAGUGUGGGCAGAUCCUCACUUUGUAUGUAGUUGUUGUUU
ensembl:lncRNA